UACGGGGGGGGCAAGCGUGGUUCGGAAUUACUGGGCGUAAAGGGCUCGUAGGCGGCCAACUAAGUCGGACGUGAAAUCCCCAGGCUCAACCUGGGAACUGCGUCUGAUACUGGAUGGCUUGAAUCCGGGAGAGGGAUGCAGAAUUCCAGGUGUAGCGGUGAAAUGCGUAGAUAUCUGGAGGAAUACCGGUGGCGAAGGCGGCAUCCUGGACCGGCAUUGACGCUGAGGAGCGAAAGCCAGGGGAGCAAACGGG
rnacentral:rRNA from 1 species